rnacentral:lncRNA from 1 species
UGUUACUGUUAACUUUCAAUCAUGUUAUGCAUGAUAACGUUUUUUGUUUAAUGAACAGAUAUGAGCAAAGCACGUUAAUCCCGGUAUCUUCUCUAGGUGUAGUUGUGUGCGGUUCUCAGGUGGCUGUGCAUGUGAACACAUGUGUGAUUUCUCAGUGUACUGUACUGUGAUUUGUUUUUAUUGCUUGUUUUGUUUCCCCUCAGUGUCUGUAACCCUUAGUAGGCUCUGACCUAGUCAGGCUGGAAGAAGCAUAAGGAUCUUUUAUUGCUUUGUGCUGGGUGAGGGCUGGCCCUAAACACCUGUAUAAUCCUUUCAACGGGCCCAGGAAAAGCCAGACUGGCAUCAUGUCCACAGCAUCGCUUAAUAUCAUUGGUUGUCAUCCAGACACCUCAACUUGUGCUGCAGAGGAAAUAAGUUCCUUCUCACUGAUCAUCGUGAUGGACAUUGAAACCUCAGGGUGUAGAGCUAACACCUGUUCAUCAUCGUGGAUGUUAAAGAAUUGGGUAACAUGCCUAGUGGUAAGCCUUGGAUGGGCAAUGAGAGUAUACUCUAAAAAGCAUGCAGUAUUGUGCCCCUCUCACAACCAACACACACAUGACCUGUCCCCCAGCACCCCCAAAUUUAAGAGUGGAUUGCAAAUCUUUUGGAGACCAUGGCCCUGCUACAUGUAGAAAAACCUGUUCUGUUAUUCCUGGGCCCACAAUAAACCCAGAAAUUAUGUUUUGAGUUACUGUGAUUUAGACUCCCUCUCUUCUUAAAUGGAACAGCUCAUUGGGGCUUUCUGGAUCUGUUUCCGUUUUUCUUUAAAAGUAAAUGGUGAGCAUGCAUUGUGGUGAUGCAGAGGCAGGCAUUCUGUGAGAUACAAGCUCCAGAAGGAUUCUCCUCAAUGUGUCAGUGUUGGGAUGCACACUUCCUAAAUAAAUCAUCAUUGUCUCCAACUUCCCCAUUAAUAGCACUCUUUCAGUGUGACAUGGAAAAGCAGGAGGAUGGCAUACACCCCACUGAAGGAUGUAGGUGGAGGCAGAUCUCUCAAUCCGGCAUAUUGCUUCUGUACUGCUCUUCUUUUGCUCUAAGGUGUGGGUUCCCUCAACCUCUUAGCCAGAGACCAGCAAAUGUCAGGGAAGCACCCGGUGUCUGGCUCCCCUUCCAAAUCAACACCAGUGUCUUGUUAUAGACAACAAGUCAGAGGCAAGGGCGGGAUCCCUGCAGGGCAGAAGCCUAAGCUACUAUGAGGCACUCACAAGUGGCAGCUCCUGUUACUCCCUCUUAAAUUAUGUGGGAAAUCUUAACGGAAGGGCAGUGGGCCCCCAGGAAUACCUGCGGCGUAGUGACCUCAGACCCUGAUACUCACCAUGAAACUCUAAGAUACUGAUUGGAAGCCACUUGUGGCUGUUGGCUGUGUGUGUGACUCUGCCGGGGACCCUGGCAGCCCCCCUGUAGCUGUCUUGAUGCCUCUCUGUCACCCACAUCAUCUGCCUACUUAACGCCCAGCUCUGCUCAGAAAACGUUAUGUCCUGUGUCGAGGAGAGACGAUGCAAAAUUCUGAAAUCGAUUUCCCUCUGGCUCCUGGCAUGCCCUUGCUCCUCUUCUGAGCCCAGCUCGUGGUGUGCCAGAGCGUGUGUGGUCCCCUGACUUCUGCACAGUGUAGAACUUUCUCCAAUAGUCACAUUGGCAAAGGGAGAACCAGGGGGCUGGCAGGUAAUUAGAAUUUCUCUCUCUCUCUCUUUUAAUACUUUCAUUUUGAAUGUCUUAUUUGUUCAUGUGUAUGUUUUAAUUUAAAAAAUUCUUUCUGAUAUUUUUAAUUUUGUGUCAUAAGAAUGUUUUCCUCUACAGUAUUUGUCAUAUCAGUUUAUAACCACAGAAAUGCAGGGAUUUUAUUUCUAUUGGAAACAUUACUACAGCUAUGUUUUACUUUUGAACAGAAUUUUUACUUGUAUAUGGUGCUUACUAAUGUUAAAUAGUUUGGAGUAUAUAACAUUUACAUUAAGGACUCAUGGUAGGUUAAAACCCUAAAGGGUAAGGAGUUUAAAGGAAAUAAAUAUUCAAACUGGGUUUUAUUGCCAAUUUUGGUGUAAAUGAGUUUGUGUCAUUUCAAUUACAAAGAUAAAAGUAAGCCAUAUAAUUUAUGUAAAAUUUAUUUUUGUAGUGUACAUAAUAGUUAUCAAGUCUGUUGACAAAACUAUAUUUUAAAAGAAUAUACAUGUGAUGAAUCCAUAAUAUCUGAAACUUUGCUGAGAUAUGAGUGGGGCACACUUCAUUGUAAAUUAUAGCAAGGAAAGAAAUUAAGGAAAGAAGUUAAGAGAGUGAGAGUGAGUGGAUAUUCACACAAUUGUGAAAUGUUUAUUAGUUACCUUUUGUGAUAUAGUGUGGUUCUCAUUUUAAACCUUGGAAGGUGAAAAUGUACAAACUAUAAAUAUUAAUGUUCAAACACUGACAGAAAUUCUAAUAUGAAUUAAAAAAUAACGAAAAAACAACAAUAUAUUUUAUCUUACUAAUU